GAUGUGUGAUGAGAAACUGGAGCUGACAAUCCCAUGGAGGGUCCGUCCAAUCCAACUCUGAACAUU